rnacentral:rRNA from 1 species
GACGAACCGUCCAAACGUUAUUCGGAAUUACUGGGCUUAAAGGGUGCGUAGGCGGCGCGGAAAGUAGGGUGUGAAAUCCCUCGGCUCAACCGAGGAACUGCGCCCUAAACUACCGUGCUCGAGGGAGAUAGAGGUGAGCGGAACUUAGGGUGGAGCGGUGAAAUGCGUUGAUAUCCUAAGGAACACCCGUGGCGAAAGCGGCUCACUGGGUCUCUUCUGACGCUGAGGCACGAAAGCUAGGGUAGCGAACAGG